CCAGCCACACUGGAACUGAGACACGGUCCAGACUCCUACGGGAGGCAGCAGUGGGGAAUAUUGCACAAUGGGCGCAAGCCUGAUGCAGCCAUGCCGCGUGUAUGAAGAAGGCCUUCGGGUUGUAAAGUACUUUCAGCGAGGAGGAAGGCAUUGUGGUUAAUAACCACAGUGAUGAC
rnacentral:rRNA from 1 species